rnacentral:rRNA from 1 species
AUUGAACGCUGGCGGCAGGCCUAACACAUGCAAGUCGAGCGGAUGAAGGGAGCUUGCUCCUGGAUUCAGCGGCGGACGGGUGAGUAAUGCCUAGGAAUCUGCCUGGUAGUGGGGGAUAACGUCCGGAAACGGGCGCUAAUACCGCAUACGUCCUGAGGGAGAAAGUGGGGGAUCUUCGGACCUCACGCUAUCAGAUGAGCCUAGGUCGGAUUAGCUAGUUGGUGGGGUAAAGGCCUACCAAGGCGACGAUCCGUAACUGGUCUGAGAGGAUGAUCAGUCACGCUGGAACUGAGACACGGUCCAGACUCCUACGGGAGGCAGCAGUGGGGAAUAUUGGACAAUGGGCGAAAGCCUGAUCCAGCCAUGCCGCGUGUGUGAAGAAGGUCUUCGGAUUGUAAAGCACUUUAAGUUGGGAGGAAGGGCAGUAAGUUAAUACCUUGCUGUUUUGACGUUACCAACAGAAUAAGCACCGGCUAACUUCGU